CCUACGGGAGGCAGCAGUGGGGGAUAUUGCACAAUGGGGGAAACCCUGAUGCAGCGACGCCGCGUGAGUGCAGAAUUAUUUCGGUAUGUACAGCUCUAUCAACAGGGAAAAAAAUGACAGUACCUGACCAAGAAGCCCCUGCUAACUACGUGCCAGCAGCCGCGGUAAUACGUAGGGGGCCAGUGUUAACCGGAUUUACUGGGUGUAAAGGGAGCGUAGACGGUUAUGUAAGGCUGGAGUGAAAGCCCGGGGCCCAACCACGGGACUGCUUUGGAAACUGUGUAACUGGAGUACAGGAGGGGCAGGCGGAAUUCGUAGUGUAGCGGUGAAAUGCGUAGAUAUCAGGAGGAACCCCGGCGGCGAAGGCGGCCUGCUGGACUGAAACUGACGUUGAGGCUCGAAAGCGUGGGGAGCAAACAGGAUUAGAUACCCGAGUAGUC
rnacentral:rRNA from 1 species